rnacentral:rRNA from 1 species
CCUACGGGGAGCUGCAGUGAGGAAUAUUGGUCAAUGGACGAGAGUCUGAACCAGCCAAGUAGCGUGAAGGAUGACUGCCCUAUGGGUUGUAAACUUCUUUUAUAUGGGAAUAAAAUGUUCCACGUGUGGGAUUUUGUAUGUACCAUAUGAAUAAGGAUCGGCUAACUCCGUGCCAGCAGCCGCGGUAAUACGGAGGAUCCGAGCGUUAUCCGGAUUUAUUGGGUUUAAAGGGAGCGUAGGUGGAUUGUUAAGUCAGUUGUGAAAGUUUGCGGCUCAACCGUAAAAUUGCAGUUGAAACUGGCAGUCUUGAGUACAGUAGAGGUGGGCGGAAUUCGUGGUGUAGCGGUGAAAUGCUUAGAGAUCACGAAGAACUCCGAUUGCGAAGGCAGUUCACUGGACUGCAACUGACACUGAGGCUCGAAAGUGUGGGUAUCAAACAGGAUUAGAUACCCGAGUAGUC